GGGUUGUGAGGUUAAGCGACUAAGCGUACACGGUGGAUGCCCUGGCAGUCAGAGGCGAUGAAGGACGUGCUAAUCUGCGAAAAGCGUCGGUAAGGUGAUAUGAACCGUUACAGCCGGCGAUGUCCGAAUGGGGAAACCCAGUGUGAUUCGUCACACUAUCGUUAACUGAAUACAUAGGUUAACGAGGCGAACCGGGGGAACUGAAACAUCUAAGUACCCCGAGGAAAAGAAAUCAACCGAGAUUCCCCCAGUAGCGGCGAGCGAACGGGGAGCAGCCCAGAGUCUGAAUCAGCUUGUGUGUUAGUGGAACGGUCUGGAAAGUCCGACGGUACAGGGUGAUAGUCCCGUACACCAAAAUGCACAGGCUGUGAACUCGAAGAGUAGGGCGGGACACGUGGUAUCCUGUCUGAAUAUGGGGGGACCAUCCUCCAAGGCUAAAUACUCCUGACUGACCGAUAGUGAACCAGUACCGUGAGGGAAAGGCGAAAAGAACCCCGGCGAGGGGAGUGAAAAAGAACCUGAAACCGUGUACGUACAAGCAGUGGGAGCACCUUCGGGUGUGACUGCGUACCUUUUGUAUAAUGGGUCAGCGACUUAUAUUCUGUAGCAAGGUUAACCGUAUAGGGGAGCCGCAGGGAAACCGAGUCUUAACUGGGCGUUAAGUUGCAGGGUAUAGACCCGAAACCCGGUGAUCUAGCCAUGGGCAGGUUGAAGGUUGGGUAACACUAACUGGAGGACCGAACCGACUAAUGUUGAAAAAUUAGCGGAUGACUUGUGGCUGGGGGUGAAAGGCCAAUCAAACCGGGAGAUAGCUGGUUCUCCCCGAAAGCUAUUUAGGUAGCGCCUCGUGAAUUCAUCUUCGGGGGUAGAGCACUGUUUCGGCUAGGGGGUCAUCCCGACUUACCAACCCGAUGCAAACUACGAAUACCGAAGAAUGUUAUCACGGGAGACACACGGCGGGUGCUAACGUCCGUCGUGAAGAGGGAAACAACCCAGACCGCCAGCUAAGGUCCCAAAGUCAUGGUUAAGUGGGAAACGAUGUGGGAAGGCACAGACAGCCAGGAUGUUGGCUUAGAAGCAGCCAUCAUUUAAAGAAAGCGUAAUAGCUCACUGGUCGAGUCGGCCUGCGCGGAAGAUGUAACGGGGCUAAACCAUGCACCGAAGCUGCGGCAGCGACACUAUGUGUUGUUGGGUAGGGGAGCGUUCUGUAAGCCUGCGAAGGUGUGCUGUGAGGCAUGCUGGAGGUAUCAGAAGUGCGAAUGCUGACAUAAGUAACGAUAAAGCGGGUGAAAAGCCCGCUCGCCGGAAGACCAAGGGUUCCUGUCCAACGUUAAUCGGGGCAGGGUGAGUCGACCCCUAAGGCGAGGCCGAAAGGCGUAGUCGAUGGGAAACAGGUUAAUAUUCCUGUACUUGGUGUUACUGCGAAGGGGGGACGGAGAAGGCUAUGUUAGCCGGGCGACGGUUGUCCCGGUUUAAGCAUGUAGGCUGAUUAUCCAGGCAAAUCCGGAUAAUCAAGGCUGAGGUGUGAUGACGAGGCACUACGGUGCUGAAGUAACAAAUGCCCUGCUUCCAGGAAAAGCCUCUAAGCAUCAGGUAACAUCAAAUCGUACCCCAAACCGACACAGGUGGUCAGGUAGAGAAUACCAAGGCGCUUGAGAGAACUCGGGUGAAGGAACUAGGCAAAAUGGUGCCGUAACUUCGGGAGAAGGCACGCUGGUGUGUAGGUGAAGUCCCUGCGGAUGGAGCUGAGACCAGUCGAAGAUACCAGCUGGCUGCAACUGUUUAUUAAAAACACAGCACUGUGCAAACACGAAAGUGGACGUAUACGGUGUGACGCCUGCCCGGUGCCGGAAGGUUAAUUGAUGGGGUUAUCCGUAAGGAGAAGCUCUUGAUCGAAGCCCCGGUAAACGGCGGCCGUAACUAUAACGGUCCUAAGGUAGCGAAAUUCCUUGUCGGGUAAGUUCCGACCUGCACGAAUGGCGUAAUGAUGGCGGGCUGUCUCCACCCGAGACUCAGUGAAAUUGAACUCGCUGUGAAGAUGCAGUGUACCCGCGGCAAGACGGAAAGACCCCGUGAACCUUUACUAUAGCUUGACACUGAACAUUGAGCCUUGAUGUGUAGGAUAGGUGGGAGGCUUUGAAGCGUGGACGCCAGUCUGCGUGGAGCCAACCUUGAAAUACCACCCUUUAAUGUUUGAUGUUCUAACGUUGGCCCCUUACCGGGGUUGCGGACAGUGUCUGGUGGGUAGUUUGACUGGGGCGGUCUCCUCCCAAAGCGUAACGGAGGAGCACGAAGGUUAGCUAAUCCUGGUCGGACAUCAGGAGGUUAGUGCAAUGGCAUAAGCUAGCUUGACUGCGAGCGUGACGGCGCGAGCAGGUGCGAAAGCAGGUCAUAGUGAUCCGGUGGUUCUGAAUGGAAGGGCCAUCGCUCAACGGAUAAAAGGUACUCCGGGGAUAACAGGCUGAUACCGCCCAAGAGUUCAUAUCGACGGCGGUGUUUGGCACCUCGAUGUCGGCUCAUCACAUCCUGGGGCUGAAGUAGGUCCCAAGGGUAUGGCUGUUCGCCAUUUAAAGUGGUACGCGAGCUGGGUUUAGAACGUCGUGAGACAGUUCGGUCCCUAUCUGCCGUGGGCGCUGGAGAAUUGAGGGGGGCUGCUCCUAGUACGAGAGGACCGGAGUGGACGCAUCACUGGUGUUCGGGUUGUCAUGCCAAUGGCACUGCCCGGUAGCUAAAUGCGGAAGAGAUAAGUGCUGAAAGCAUCUAAGCACGAAACUUGCCCCGAGAUGAGUUCUCCCUGAGACUUUAAGUCUCCUGAAGGAACGUUAAAGACGAUGACGUUGAUAGGCCGGGUGUGUAAGCGCAGCGAUGCGUUGAGCUAACCGGUACUAAUGAACCGUGAGGCUUAACCUUACAACGCCGAAG
rnacentral:rRNA from 1 species